rnacentral:rRNA from 1 species
AACCCGCCUGCAUGAAGUUGGAAUCGCUAGUAAUCGCGGAUCAGCAUGCCGCGGUGAAUACGUUCCCGGGCCUUGUACACACCGCCCGUCACACCAUGAGAGUCGGGAACACCCGAAGUCCGUAGCCUGACCGCAAGGGGGCGCGGCCGAAGGUGGGUUCGAUAAUUGGGGUGAAGUCGUAACAAGGUAGC